UACGAAGGGAGCUAGCGUUGUUCGGAAUCACUGGGCGUAAAGCGCACGUAGGCGGAUGUGUCAGUCAGGGGUGAAAUCCCGGAGCUCAACUUCGGAACUGCCUUUGAUACAGCACAUCUGGAGUCCGGAAGAGGUGGGUGGAAUUCCUAGUGUAGAGGUGAAAUUCGUAGAUAUUAGGAAGAACACCGGUGGCGAAGGCGGCCCACUGGUCCGGUACUGACGCUGAGGUGCGAAAGCGUGGGGAGCAAACGGG
rnacentral:rRNA from 1 species